AACGAACGCUGGCGGCAUGCCUAACACAUGCAAGUCGAACGAGACCUUCGGGUCUAGUGGCGCACGGGUGCGUAACGCGUGGGAACCUGCCCUUAGGUUCGGAAUAACUCCCCGAAAGGGGUGCUAAUACCGGAUAAUGUCUUCGGACCAAAGAUUUAUCGCCUUUGGAUGGGCCCGCGUUGGAUUAGCUAGUUGGUAGGGUAAAAGCCUACCAAGGCGACGAUCCAUAGCUGGUCUGAGAGGAUGAUCAGCCACACUGGGACUGAGACACGGCCCAGACUCCUACGGGAGGCAGAAGUGGGGAAUAUUGGAGAAUGGGCGAAAGCCUGAUCCAGCGAUGCCGCGUGAGUGAUGAAGGCGUUAGGGUUGUAAAGCUCUUUUACCCGGGAUGAUAAUGACAGUACCGGGAGAAUAAGCUCCGGCUAACUCCGUG
rnacentral:rRNA from 1 species